UGGGGAAUAUUGCACAAUGGGCGCAAGCCUGAUGCAGCCAUGCCGCGUGUGUGAAGAAGGCCUUCGGGUUGUAAAGCACUUUCAGCGAGGAGGAAGGUGGUGAACUUAAUACGUUCAUCAAUUGACGUUACUCGCAGAAGAAGCACCGGCUAACUCCGUGCCAGCAGCCGCGGUAAUACGGAGGGUGCAAGCGUUAAUCGGAAUUACUGGGCGUAAAGCGCACGCAGGCGGUUUGUUAAGUCAGAUGUGAAAUCCCCGGGCUCAACCUGGGAACUGCAUUUGAAACUGGCAAGCUAGAGUCUCGUAGAGGGGGGUAGAAUUCCAGGUGUAGCGGUGAAAUGCGUAGAGAUCUGGAGGAAUACCGGUGGCGAAGGCGGCCCCCUGGACGAAGACUGACGCUCAGGUGCGAAAGCGUGGGGAGCAAACGGGAUUAGAUACCCUGGUAGUCCACGCUGUAAACGAUGUCGAUUUUGGAGGUUGUGCCCUUGAGGCGUGGCUUCCGGAGCUAACGCGUUAAAUCGACCGCCUGGGGAG
rnacentral:rRNA from 1 species